CCUGCAAUAAACGAGUAUGAGAACGAAGAUCCCAGUGCACGUACAUAUACAUCUCUUGACCUCAGGUCCAGAUCAUCCGACUUGUACGAUACACUCACAACUGUCAAUCCCAGACCUGCCGUUCACCAGUCAAGCUCUUCUGAAUAUGAGAAUCAGUCACCACAGCAAGAUGCCACGGUAAGAUAAGGCACAAGCUAAACUUUAGCCAACUUUUUUGGAGUCGCUGGACACGCCCACAUCACAACUACCAAAGGAAAUGAAAUGCCUCUUCAGAGUUUCCAUUCAGCAGUGAAGCGAGGCUGUGCACAGACAUUUUGAGGGGCAGUGGCUCAAACCAGAAAAAAGGGGCACUAAGGGUAUAAUUAUAAUAACAAUAAUAAUAAUAAUAAUAUAAUAUUUUUAUUUUACAGAAAAGUUAUUUUAUGAAGACUACAGGGUUACCUCUUAACAUGCCUGGUAGCCUAUGACUAUAAAUCAUUAGAAAGGUAUAAGGAUUUAUUAUAAAAUAUAUUUUGUUGGUAUGCUAAAUCUAAAACAUCCAUGUCCAUGUCUUCAAUAUGAAAUAUGAGCCUAUUAUGCAACUACCAACUGUGGGGAAGAAAAAGAAAAAAAAAAAAAAAAAAAAAAACCCUCCUGUACACUUCUGUACACUGGAGAAAAACAUAUGGGUUAUCAUGUUUACUUCAAAUUUCUUUAGAUAGAAGUAUUAUUUUUCCUAUUUUUACACAAAGUAGGAUGGACUGAGCAUUAUUGAGCACUAUAAACAAGUUUUGUCUUCUUCAUACUGGAAACCAGAGGGCACCCUCAUGCAGAAACUCCAGAUACGCCUCACAGAAGUAAUAUAACAUUCCAGGAAAUCCCUAAUAUGGACAAAGGCAUCCAGCUAAUACAGCUACCGCUGUAGCUGAAUAAAAAGAUGAUAGAAACGCUUUGACUGAUUAAACAUGACAACAAUAAACACACAACUGCGACGAUAUUAAUUCAUCUGAGUUCUUCAAGCAUUCUUGGCUAUUCUCAUAUUAAUGAAGUAUAUUUAUAAUGCAAUGCUAAUCGACAUAGCCUUUAUCACUGAAUAGGAUACUAUAAAAUAAUACAUUGUCUACCUUAUGCUAUGAUAACAAACCACAUCAGCUCACAAAAGUAAGUUAUGUUUCAUCUUGCUUUUAUCCACUAUUAGUACAAGCCUGUUGUAGUGGACCGAAUGAUGGCCAAAACUUUACUGAUGAGUUUUAUGAAGUUUAUUGUACAUCACACAAAAGAUGAAGCGUGUGUUUCACUCCAAAAACUCACUAUAAGAGCUGAAUGCACACAGUGCAAUAAGUCUUGUCCAUAAACUCUCUCUCGCUUGUAUUAUCAUCAACAUACACAGUAAAUUACACAAAAACACUCAUUACAAUUAACAGUAAACAAAUAUACACAGACCUUAUUCCUUUUCGGGGAGUGCUUAAUAAACUUUAUAUCCAUAAAUCAUCUCUGAUGAACUGUAAUAAAGUGCAUGCUUUCCCCUUCAUUAUUGCUGUAACCAGUAUCGCUCUGGAGACUACAAGCUGGAUCACGAGUAGCUGAUACCGAUCCAUCCUUGAGUAACAACUUUUUAGCAAAACCUGUUUUGUAUUGUCCCUUUGUAUUGACAUUCAUUCACAAAGCAGUCUGGUGUAAAAUGAUUCGCGCAGACAUAAAUGGGCGGUUUGUACGUUAUUUGCGAACGGCUUGUUCUGAGACACUGCUUAUGAUUUAUGGGGAUUGAAAAAAGGAGUGGGUGGAUUUUUAUCAUUAUAGGGUGGUGGUGUACACACACUGCCAACACACAUUUAUGUUCAAACACCAUGUAAAAGUGAAAUAUAUACACACACACUAUAUUGCCAAAGGUUUUGGGAUGCCUGCCUUUACGUGCACAUGAACUUUAAUGACAUCCCAUUUUUAAUCCGUAGAGUUUAAUUUGGAGUUGGCCCACCCUUUGCAGCUAUAACAGCUUCAACUCUUCUGGGAAGGCUUUCCACAAGGUUUAGGAGUGAGUUUAUGGGAAUUUUGGACCAUUCUUCUAGAAGCGCAUUUGUGAGGUCAGGCAGUGAUGUUGACGAGAAGGCCUGGCUCGCAGUCUCCGCUCUAAUUCAUCCCAAAGGUGUUCUAUCGGGUUGAGGUCAGGAUUCUGUGCAGGCCAGUCAAGUUCCUCCACACCAAACUCACUCAUCCAUGUAUUUAUGGACCUUCCUUUGUGCACUGGUACACAGUCAUGUUGGAACAGGAAGGGACCAUCCCCAAACUGUUCCCACAAAGUUGGGAGCAUGAAAUUGUCCAAAAUGUCUUGGUAUGCUGAAGCAUUAAGAGUUCCUUUCACUGGAACUAAGGGGCCAAGCCCAACCCCUGGAAAACAACCCCACAAUCCCCCCUCCACCAAACUUUACACUUGCCACAAUGCAGUCAGGCAAGUACCGUUCUCCCGGCAACCGCCAAACCCAGACUCGUCCAUCGAAUUGCCAGACAGAGAAGCGUGAUUCGUCACUCCAGAAAACACGUCUCCACUGCUCUAGAGUCCAGUGGCAGUGUGCUUUACACCACUGCAUCCGACGAUUUGCAUUGCACUUGGUGAUGUAAGGCUUGGAUUCAGCUGCUCGGUCAUGGAAACCCAUUCCAUGAAGCUCUCUACGCACUGUUCUUGAGCUAAUCUGAAGGCCACACAAAGUUUGGAGGUCUGUAGCUAUUGACUCUGCAGAAAGUUGGCGACUUCUGCGCACCGUGUGCCUCAGCAUGCGCUGACAUCGCUCUGUGAUUUUACGUGGCCUAACACUUCGUGGCUGAGUUGCUGUUGUUCCCAAUUGCUUCCAGUUUGUUAUGAUACCACUAACAGUUGAUCGUGGAAUAUUUAGUAGUGAGGAAAUUUCACGAAUGGACUUAUUGCACAGGUGGCAACCUAUCACGGUGCCACGCUUGAAUUCACUGAGAUCCUGAGAGCGACCCAUUCUUUCACAAAUGUUUGUAGAAGCAGUCUGCAUGCCUAGUAGUCAACAUUUGAAGUGGA